rnacentral:rRNA from 1 species
AUUGAACGCUGGCGGCAGGCCUAACACAUGCAAGUCGAGCGAGCGGCGGACGGGUGAGUAAUGUCUGGGAAACUGCCUGAUGGAGGGGGAUAACUACUGGAAACGGUAGCUAAUACCGCAUACCAUCAGAUGUGCCCAGAUGGGAUUAGCUAGUAGGUGGGGUCAUGGCUCACGUAGGCGACGAUCCCUCGCUGGUCUGAGAGGAUGACCAGCCACACUGGAACGGAGCCACGGUCCAGACUCCUACGGGAGGCAGCAGUGGUGAAUAUUGAACAAUGGGCGCAAGCCUGAUGCAGCCAUGCCGCGUGUGGGAAGAAGGCCUUCGGGUUGUAAAGCACUGUCAGCGAGGAGGCGUUACGCGCAGAAGAAGCACCGGCUAACUCCGGGCCAGCAGCCGCGGUAAUUC